rnacentral:rRNA from 1 species
AAUCAACGCUGGCGGCGCGCCUAACACAUGCAAGUCGAACGAGAAAGUGGAGCAAUCCAUGAGUACAGUGGCGUACGGGUGAGUAACACGUGGAUCAUCUACCUUUUAGUGGGGAAUAACCCUGGGAAACCGGGGAUAAUACCGCAUAAGCCCGAGAGGGGAAAGCAGCAAUGCGCUGAAAGAGGAGUCCGCGGCCGAUUAGCUAGUUGGCAGGGUAAAAGCCUACCAAGGCAGAGAUCGGUAGCCGGCCUGAGAGGGCACACGGCCACACUGGCACUGAAACACGGGCCAGACUCCUACGGGAGGCAGCAGUGGGGAAUCUUGCACAAUGGGGGAAACCCUGAUGCAGCGACGCCGCGUGAGCGAUGAAGCCCUUCGGGGUGUAAAGCUCUUUCGGCAGGGAAGAUUAUGACGGUACCUGCAGAAGCAGCUGCGGCUAACUACGUGCCAGCAGCCGCGGUAAUACGUAGGCAGCAAGCGUUGUUCGGAGUUACUGGGCGUAAAGGGUGUGUAGGCGGUUGUUUAAGUUUGGUGUGAAAUCUCCCGGCUUAACCGGGAGGGUGCGCCGAAUACUGAAUGACUUCGAGUGCGGGAGAGGAAAGUGG